rnacentral:misc_RNA from 1 species
GAUGAAGAACGUAGCGAAAUGCGAUAAGUAAUGUGAAUUGCAGAAUUCAGUGAAUCAUCGAAUCUUUGAACGCACCUUGCGCCCUUUGGCUAUUCCGAAGGGCAUGCCUGUUUGAGUAUCAUGAACACCUCAACUCUCAUGGUUCGCCAUGAUGAGCUUGGACUCUGGGGGUCUUGCUGGCCUAUGGUCAGCUCCUCUCAAAUAAAUCAGCUUGCCAGUGUUUGGUGGCAUCACAGGUGUGAUAACUAUCUACGCUUGUGGUUUUCCAUCAGGUAACCUUCAGUGAUGGAGGUUCGCUGGAGCUCAUAAAUGUCCCUCCUCAGCGAGGACAGCUUUUUGAACGUUUGAUCUCAAAUCAGGUAGGACUACCCGCUGAACUUAAGCAUAUCAAUAGCGGAGGA